AUUGAACGCUGGCGGCAUGCCUUACACAUGCAAGUCGAACGGUAACGCGGGGCAACCUGGCGACGAGUGGCGAACGGGUGAGUAAUGUAUCGGAACGUGCCCAGUUGUGGGGGAUAACUGCUCGAAAGAGCAGCUAAUACCGCAUACGACCUGAGGGUGAAAGCGGGGGAUCGCAAGACCUCGCGCAAUUGGAGCGGCCGAUAUCAGAUGAGGUAGUUGGCGGGGUAAAGGCUCACCAAGCCAACGAUCUGUAGCCGGUCUGAGAGGACGACCAGCCACACUGGGACUGAGACACGGCCCAGACUCCUACGGGAGGCAGCAGUGGGGAAUUUUGGACAAUGGACGCAAGUCUGAUCCAGCCAUGCCGCGUGCGGGAAGAAGGCCUUCGGGUUGUAAACCGCUUUUGUCAGGGAAGAAACGCUCUGGGUUAAUACCUCGGGGUAAUGACGGUACCUGAAGAAUAAGCACCGGCUAACUACGUGCCAGCCGCCGCCGUAAGAC
rnacentral:rRNA from 1 species